rnacentral:rRNA from 1 species
UAGGGAAUCUUCCGCAAUGGACGCAAGUCUGACGGAGCAACGCCGCGUGAGUGAAGAAGGGUUUCGGCACGUAAAACUCUGUUGUUAAGGAAGAAUGACAGGCAGAGUAACUGCUGCCUGUGUGACGGUACUUAACCAGAAAGCCACGGCUAACUACGUGUCAGUAGCCGCGGUAAUACGUAGGUGGCAAGCGUUAUCCGGAAUUAUUGGGCGUAAAGCGCGCGUAGGCGGUUUUUUAUGUCUGAUGUGAAAGCCCCCGGCUCAACCGGGGAGGGUCAUUGGAAACUGGGCAACUUGAGUGCAGAAGAGGCGAUUGGAAUUCCAUGUGUAGCGGUAAAAUGCGCAGAGAUAUGUAUGACCACCAGUGGCGAAGGCGGCUCUCUGGUCUGUAACUGACGCUGAUGUGCGAAAGCGUGGUGAUCAAACAGG